GAUGAACGCUGGCGGCGUGCCUAAUACAUGCAAGUCGAGCGAACAGACGAGGAGCUUGCUCCUCUGACGUUAGCGGCGGACGGGUGAGUAACACGUGGAUAACCUACCUAUAAGACUGGGAUAACUUCGGGAAACCAGAGCUAAUACCGGAUAACAUGUUGAACCGCAUGGUUCAACAGUGAAAGACGGUUUUGCUUUCACUUAUAGAUGGAUCCGCGUCGCAUUAGCUAGUUGGUAAGGUAACGGCUUACCAAGGCAACGAUGCGUAGCCGACCUGAGAGGGUGAUCGGCCACACUGGAACUGAGACACGGUCCAGACUCCUACGGGAGGCAGCAGUAGGGAAUCUUCCGCAAUGGGCGAAAGCCUGACGGAGCAACGCCGCGUGAGUGAAGAAGGUCUUCGGAUCGUAAAACUCUGUUAUUAGGGAAGAACAAAUGUGUAAGUAACUAUGCACGUCUUGACGGUACCUAAUCAGAAAGCCACGGCUAACUACGUG
rnacentral:rRNA from 1 species